UGCUAAGAUAACCCUCUGGAGUGGUGGUGGCUGUCCUAGACCAGCCUUAGGCUGCUGUUGUCGUCAUGGGGACCUUGCUCUGAAACAGAUGAAGUGGUUUCUGUAGGAAAUAUGCAAGGACUAUCAGGGUUUCUGUGACUUUCUGGAAAUUUCCUUGCAGCCUGUACUGCUGAAACCAAGUCUCUUCAAGUAUCUGUGGGCACUUAAGGCAGCAGGAGCCACCAGAAGAAGGAACUGCCUGGCUGCCAGCACCUGUAGUUUCCACAAAAAGAGCUGCUGAACAUGACAUUUAAAAUGUUUAAUGGAAAAAACUCCCUGUGGUAGACAGAAAUGGCAACUCCUAGAGGCAACCCUAAGGUCUUCAAAGAAGACAGAUGGGGCGCAGACCUGGAUUGUGGUGACACUAACCACUGGGAAAAAACUUCUCCAUGCCUCACCUGCUUCCAGGGUCCUGCAGAAACUGUGGACAUUGCUGGGUUGAUUGCCCCACUCUGCCUAAGUCAAGGUCUUUUUCCCAAGUUCUUCAUCCAUAGGGAAGUCUCAGACCUUCUGUGUCCAUCAGUUGAAGGCCUGUGGUGUCCUGUGCAGCAGUUAAAGAUGUACUGCUAUCCUGCUUAACAGCCAGAGACCUAUGACCUCCGCCCCACAUUGAAGCCAUUGAGACCACAGCAGCCUGUAAGGGGCCGUGGGCCCAAAACUAUGCGGCUUAAAGCCCACCUUUGUAAGCCUUUUAAUGACCUUUAAGUUUGCGGCUUAAAGCCAGCUCUGUGAGCCUCCUGGAACCUGUAAUUAGAUACGGUUUGGCCAAGCGGAACUGCUAACUGCUUCUGUUCCGAGAAAGGGUCUGGUGCUUUUCUGUUCGCUGUUCCAAGGAAGACCACUAGAUGUUCCGGCUGAUAAGAAGAAUGUUCCAGUCCCAGCAAAUACCUGAUGUUCCUUCUAUUAUUCCCCCCAAUUCUAUUGUUGCAGGACUAUUUAAGCCCGCUCUAAGCCCCAAUAAAUCGAGACCUUGACAUUGCACAGACGGACUCUUGUCCUUUCUCGUGCCGCUUGGUCUCCUUUCUUUCUCUCGCCCAUUACUCUUUCAGGCAGCCCCCCUUCUGAACCCUGAAUGACUGGACCUGCGAGACGGGUCAGCAGCCUACUAGGGUAAUAGUACAGUUGGCUGGUAAGUCUCUGUCAUUUUAGUCAAUACAGAGGCCAUUUGUUUUAUAUUUCCUGCUAUAAUUUAUCCUCAGAUCUCUGAUGGUGUUGAAGGCUAACUGUAGCUUUGUCAGUUUGGCAGCGGAAGGCACCUAGCUUCUCCCCAACAGGUUGCAGCUGCCUGGUCAGUACAUAUCAUAAAUGGGAAUCCAGCCUUGCUUUUCUAUAGCUGCUACAUUUCAUGAUGAAAAAGACAAAUUUACAGACUUCAUAUUUAAAGGAUAAACCGGGUUUCAGAUGUUAUUUUUACUAUUCCCUUAUUUAAAGGAACUUGCUUUGCAAAUAACUGUUCUCAAUAAUCAACCACCUGUGUCUCACUGGAUUAAAAAAAAAAAACAGCUUCAAGUCUAUAUAAGUUCUGAUGAUCUAAGAAAGGGCUCUAAGGUGUUUAAAGGUCUGAGGAUGCGAAAGCCUAAGUAAGUUCUAAAGAUCUAAGGAAGUGAUUUAAGGUAUAUGAAACAUGUUUCAGAUUUCUUUCCUUCUCUAUGCUACAUGGUUAUACUAAUCUUUCAAAUGUUCAGAGUUCUAACGUUGAUUAAUGAUGUUCUGAUAUGCUGGGAAAAACGACUGCUGUUAUUAGUCACAAGCUCAAAACUCCAAAUUUCCUUUUGUUGUCUUCUAAGUAUAGAGUUAAAGGUGCUUCUAAUCGGGCAAAAACAUCUCUAUUCAAUCCAUAUAUUCAGCUCUUUGAACAGAGAAAAGAGUGUUCAUGCUUUUUAACCCCAAGCAGCCAUAGCUUUUUUUAAAAAAUGAUUCCAAGGCGUGAGUCUGUUCCAGAUGUUUUACAGACACCUGUUAGCUGCUUUUUCUACAAUGUGUAUUUCAGAACAGACUACAAACACUGGUGAUACUAAUAUAUCUAAAACUUUUUUUUUUCAAGACAGGGUUUCUCUGUGUAAUGGUCCUGGCUGUCCUGGAACUCACUUUGUAGACCAGGCUGGCUUCAAACUUACUGAGAUCUGCCUGCCUCUGACUCCUAAGUACUGGGAUUAAAGGUAUACCACCAUUAAACUAUCUAAAACCUUUUAUCUAUUCUUGUAAACUAAAACAAUUCAUGUAAGCUUCAGGGAGUUGAGGGAGUUGUAAGACUUGGAUCAACCUCUCACAGAUCAAAUGGACUCCGGAUAAGUACUCUUGUCAACCAACUGUCUAAGUUUCCCACCUGCCUAUUCCUGAGUGUGGGAUUUUGCUGUCUUUCUCCUGGUCUUGGGACUCCUCCCCUUCCCCAACUACCAGGAACACGGGCUUGGAAGUUACAAAUGCAAGAUCUCCUUCAAGUUCCUAAACUUUAAUUUCUGUCCCUAGUCUAUAUCUGUCUCAGCAAGUUUUCACUUACCAGAUACCAUUCAAGAAUCAGCUGCAGACAGCAAACUGUUCCAGACGACUGUGAGCCCUGGGCUUGCUCAAAGCUGAUGUGAACCAGUCCACCUGAUGUGAUUGCUCCCUGUCUCUUCAGUUGGGUCAGCAAACCAGAUGCUUCUGAUGAAUGCUCCAUUCCCAGAAUGCCCCACCACCUGAAUCCCCUCCUGGCCUUUGACUAACUGUCCAGCCUUCCUGGGCCCUGACAAUGACAUCCUAAUGUUAUCAGGAACCAGUUACAGAAGGGAAUAUGUUCCUGCUUGUCCUCAACAAAAGGCUGGAGUGUACUUCAGAAGGAAACUCCCUGGCAUAGGGGACAAAAUGGCUACCUAUAUAAGAGAUAGUUCUAGGACAAGCUCCAAAGUCACAGAGAAACCCUGUCUCAAAAAAAACAAAAACAAAAACAAAACACUACAACAAAACAACAACAAAAAACAAAAAAAGAAACCCAAAUAGACCCAGAUCUAUCAACAAGUAGGUUCAUUACCUGAAAUAGUUCUGUAACAUGAUAGGAGACCCAGUCUGCUCUAUGUAAAAGAAGAGGUUAUCGUAUGGCUUUAAGAAGAAAUUUUUCUUUUCUUUUUCUUUUUUUUUGUUUUUCAAGAAAGGGUUUCUCUAGCUUUGUAGACCAGGCUGGCCUUGAACUCACAGAGAUCCACCUGCCUCUGCCCUCUGAGUGCUGGGAUUAAAGGUGUGUGCCACCACUGCCCAGGGAAAAAUCAUUUCUAUGCAAAUCACUUGGGAAUAAUUAGAGAUAAUCUGGAUGUACUAAAAAAAAAAUGGGACAAGAAAUGAAAUUAAUGACUGGUUCUCAUUCUGAUUUUCAGGCUCCUCUUAGAUGGUGACUCUGAUGUCAGCCAUCACAGGGCCUUUGGCCCUUCUAUUUCUGCUAAUUACUGUUGACCCUUGUAUCAUUAAUGCCUUAACUAGAUACAGAAAUCCCUGUCUGGCUACCAUGAAGCUGAUGAUUGUUAAACAGGUACCCACCAUAGAGACAAGGAUUUGACUCAGGAUAUAACUUGGGGUUGGGAGGGUGUGAUGGCCAAAGUUAUAUGUUAAGUUUAAAUCACUGUGCUAAAAAUAAAUAAAUAAAUAAAUAAAUAAAUAAAUCACUGUGCUUAAGACAUAGGUAAGAUAAAAAUGCCUCUAGCCUGUAAGUCCCACUCAUCGAAGGACAGGUAGAAUGCUGGGGGUUCAUGUAAGAUACCAAGUGUAGUGUUUUCACUUAUGUAAACAAACAUGGGUGCACCAAUUGCACAACAUGUGUGCUUGAUUACAUGUAGGCAGGAGUUACAUAGACAGGAGUACAUCAGGAUGUGUGCUUGUCCCUGAUUGGUCGGAGGUGUGAAGUACAUAGACUUGUGGGGUUUGCCUUUAUAAACCUCUGACUAAUGUAAUUCGGGGCCAUACUCUGGGAAUACCAGGUAUGGACGUGGCCAGUAUCCAUGGUCCUUGCUUUAAAUUUGACUUAAAAUUGUGGUAGUGGUCUUAUUCUCACUCAGUGAGAUGAGCACAUGAUGCUGGAGCAAUAGCUGAGAGCUUACAUCUUGAUCCACAAGCAUGAGGCAGAGAGAGUUAACUGAGAAUGGCAUUGAAAGAUUUUAGUUUGCUGAGAGAAAAAGUUUUGAAAGUUUUGAAAGUUCACAGAGAGAAAAAGUUUCCCACAGGCCUUGGCCCAGGACAAGGAAGUUGGCCCCAACCCGAGGGCAGACAGACAAUCCUUUUUGGGUCACACCUGGCUGGCCAACAGACAAUCAAGGACUUUUCAGGGUACGUUCUAUGGUUUUUCCUUUAUAAAAAAGCAGGUCACACCUGGGUGACCACUCUAACAUGAGAUCAUACUUUGUAAUCAAUCACUUUGCGCCCCUUGCCUGUAUGCUGAUCUGUGGUUUUUUUCCUAUAUAAGAAGCCUGUAACCCUUGCUGGGUUAUGCAGCUUUCCCGAUAUUGCUGACACCCGAAUGUGCAUUCGUUCAAUAAACCC
ensembl:lncRNA